rnacentral:rRNA from 1 species
GAUGGACGCUGGCGGCGCGCCUAACACAUGCAAGUCGAACGAUUAAAGCACCUUCGGGUGUGUAUAAAGUGGCGAACGGCUGAGUAACACGUGGGCAACCUGCCCCUUUCAUUGGGAUAGCCACGGGAAACCGUGGAUAAUACCGAAUACUUCGAGACUUCCGCAUGGAAGACUCGAGAAAGCUCCGGCGGAGAGGGAUGGGCCCGCGGCCUGUUAGCUUGUUGGUGGGGUAACGGCCUACCAAGGCAAUGAUGGGUAGCUGGGUUGAGAGACCGACCAGCCAGAUUGGGACUGGGACACGGCCCAGACUCCUACGGGAGGCAGCAGUGGGGAAUCUUGCACAAUGGGCGAAAGCCUGAUGCAGCGACGCCGCGUGCGGGAUGAAGGCCUUCGGGUUGUAAACCGCUUUCAGCAGGGAUGAGGCGAAAGUGACGGUACCUGCAGAAGAAGCCCCGGCUAACUACGUG